UACGGAGGAUGCGAGCGUUAUCCGGAUUUAUUGGGUUUAAAGGGUGCGUAGGCGGGAUGCCAAGUCAGCGGUAAAAUUGCGGGGCUCAACCCCGUCGAGCCGUCGGAACUGGCAGUCUUGAGUGGGCGAGAAGUAUGCGGAAUGCGUGGUGUAGCGGUGAAAUGCAUAGAUAUCACGCAGAACGCCGAUUGCGAAGGCAGCGUACCGGCUCCACACUGACGCUGAGGCACGAAAGCGUGGGUAUCGAACAGG
rnacentral:rRNA from 1 species